GGCCCCUUAGCUCAGUGGUUAGAGCAGGCGACUCAUAAUCGCUUGGUCGUUGGUUCAAGCCCAACAGGGGCCACCA
rnacentral:tRNA from 2 species